CUGCAAUAUGGUUUGGGAUGUUGAGCCUGGAAUGGUUGCCUAGAGUCUGUUUCUUUUAUGCCUCUUUAAAAUGUGAAGCUGGCUGUAUUUCUUAAUACAUCCUUCUCUGCUUACAUUGUCUAGAGUGGAUCCUGUUGUGUGUACUUAAGAAGCCUGACCUACAGAGAAGUACUGCAAUUUCUUGGCGUGUCUCCGAAUCCUCCCUCUUCCUGAUCUUCCCACUAGAGGCUCAUACUGUCUGAAGUGGCCCAUUGUUUGGAGUUAUUCCUGGCUGAUGACUCUCACCAUCAUAAAUAUUAGGAGGGAGUGGAGACGGAGAGGACACAGGGAAAAGGGAAGAAAGCACUGACCCCAGAGAAGUCCUCCACAAAGUUCAUCUCCCCAGGAAACAAGACAAAACAGAGACAAUAAAAUGUCCAGUAUCAAAUAAAUAAGGGUCAUGUGAUUCCCAAGUAAACUGACCAGAAUGCUCAUCAAAUUCGAAGAAGCGGAGUCAGAUCGUUUCCAAAGAUUAGCCUUGAGCUAACAUCUGCUGCCAAUCCUCCUCUUUUGCUGAGGAAGACUGGCCCUGAGCUAACAUCCGUGCCCAUCUUCCUCUACUUUAUAUGUGGGACACCUGCCACAUCUGGGCUUGCCAAGCGAUGCCAUGACUGCACCCGGGAUCUGAACCGGCAAACCCCAGGCCGCCGAAGCAGAACGUGAGAACUUAACUGCUGUGCCACCGGGCCGGCCCCUAACUAUAUUUUCCUAAUGGAUCUUUUGCCCAAGCAUGAUUUUGCCAUAUAAUGCAUCUAUCAUUUGGAAAAUGUUGAUUCAUUGAGUGAAUAGUUGACCUCCCACUUAUUGGCUAUACAAUAUAUUAAAAGUCACAUUUGUUAAUAUCAUUGACCUCGUUGGAAAGGUCUUUAAGCAUUGGGAGGCUGUCAGGUUUACAUUAGCACACACAAGUUUUCCAAAAUUCUUUUUUGCUUGAAGGCUCAAAUUUUAUCUUUGGCAGCAAAUAAUGACGGUUGUUUUCCUCUCGGUGACAAGCUCUCUUUAUUUAAACUCAAGAAAAAGUCUAAGUAGCCAGGCCUGAAUAACAAUA
rnacentral:lncRNA from 1 species